GUUUGUUGGACAGUGAGAGGGAGCCGGAGAGAUGGUAGUAAGAGGGCUCCAGCUGUGCAAUGAGUUUCUUCAAGGGUCAAGACUGACGAUUAGGGAUGAAAGUGAUGCUGAAAAGAUGCCUGCUUUUUAACUCGAAAAUAUAAACAAAGUUGGAGCAAAGAAGUGAAGAAGCUGGAAACAGGAUACUGACACAAAGAUAAAUGUACCGUAGUUGGGAAGAGGAAUUGUUG